rnacentral:tRNA from 1 species
UAAAAAGAGGAAUUAAUUCCAUAAAUAGGGUAUGAACCUACGAGCUUAUUUAGCUUAUCUUUCU